rnacentral:rRNA from 1 species
UGUAGGGUUCCUAGCGAGCCCAACCUCCCACCCGUGUUUACUGUACCUUAGUUGCUUCGGCGGGCCCGCCAUUCAUGGCCGCCGGGGGCUCUCAGCCCCGGGCCCGCGCCCGCCGGAGACACCACGAACUCUGUCUGAUCUAGUGAAGUCUGAGUUGAUUGUAUCGCAAUCAGUUAAAACUUUCAACAAUGGAUCUCUUGGUUCCGGCAUCGAUGAAGAACGCAGCGAAAUGCGAUAACUAGUGUGAAUUGCAGAAUUCCGUGAAUCAUCGAGUCUUUGAACGCACAUUGCGCCCCCUGGUAUUCCGGGGGGCAUGCCUGUCCGAGCGUCAUUGCUGCCCAUCAAGCACGGCUUGUGUGUUGGGUCGUCGUCCCCUCUCCGGGGGGGACGGGCCCCAAAGGCAGCGGCGGCACCGCGUCCGAUCCUCGAGCGUAUGGGGCUUUGUCACCCGCUCUGUAGGCCCGGCCGGCGCUUGCCGAACGCAAAUCAAUCUUUUUCCAGGUUGACCUCGGAUCAGGUAGGGAUACCCGCUGAACUUAAGCAUAUCUGUAAGGCGGAGG